GCCUAGCUACAAAUUCAUGGACAAGGCAACUGGGGAAUCUGAUGAACAUAUUUUAUAAAAGGUCAUUAACGAAAUGGAAUUGCCAAGGGAUAAGUAAGUUACCCCCAUUUCCUGGCCCUAGAAAAAGCAACACAGGCCAUAGCAAAAAAAUCAUAGGAUAUGCCGAUUCUCCAGUGGUUUAUUCCGUCUCUUAAACUGAUAAGGAAUAUCUAUAAAAGCGUGGAAGCGCUCUUUUGUGAUGAAGCAGAAGCCAAAAAAAAAAUGAGAAAAAAGAGGGUGAAUGAUAUAAUAAGGGAAAUAGUGAUAGGGCGACUCUCUAUUGGCAUGCAGUUAUGUAUUCACCACAUAUUUCAACUGUCACGCCAAAGGAGAGCUGCCCUAUUACUAUCUCUACUUAAUCCUAAUAUGAAAAUUGUUGCUCUUGAUUCUAUAGAUUCUCAAACAGCGUAGCCAACUAGUAAUGUCACACCAUUACAAGAACAGCUAUAAAAGUCGGAGGAAAUCCAAUAUCGGUUGUAGUUUAAGUUAGGUGGAACAGCAGUGGUGGAAACCUAGGGCGGAUGCAGCUUUAUGUUACAAUUUAUUCAUCUGAAUAAUGUGGAGAAAAAAAUUAUGUAUAAAAAUUUACUCAUGAUCAAUUUGUAACAAAUAUACAUGAAGCCAUGUAUUUAAAGAUAUAAUAGUUCAAUACAAGAACUAUAAAAAUU